GGCCUGAUGGUCUAGCGGUAUGAUUCUCGCUUUGGGUAUACUCUACCUACAAAAAAAUGCGAGAGGUCCCGGGUUCAAUCCCCGGUCAGGCCC